rnacentral:rRNA from 1 species
ACUCAAAUGAAUAGACGGGGACCCGCACAAGCAGUGGAGUAUGUGGUUUAAUUCGAAGCAACGCGAAGAACCUUACCAAGGCUUGACAUCCCUUGCAUAGCAUAGAAAUAUGUGAAAUCCCUCGGGACAAGGAGACAGGUGGUGCAUGGUUGUCGUCAGCUCGUGUCGUGAGAUGUUGGGUUAAGUCCCGCAACGAGCGCAACCCCUAUUGUCAGUUGCCAUCAUUAAGUUGGGCACUUUGGCGAGACUGCCGGUGACAAAUCGGAGGAAGGUGGGGAUGAUGUCAAAUCAUCAUGCCCCUUAUGUCUUGGGCUACACACGUACUACAAUGGCCGCUACAGAAGGUAGCGAAAGAGCAAUCUGGAGCCAAUCUCCAAAAGCGGUCUCAGUUCGGAUUGCAGGCUGAAACUCGCCUGUAUGAAGUCGGAAUUGCUAGUAAUGGCAGGUCAGCAUACUGCCGUGAAUACGUUCCCGGGUCUUGCACACACCGCCCGU